GUAGGUUGAGACAGGGGGGUAAAACUGGGAGAGACUGAGGGAGGUGGUGACAAUGUUCAAAAGGAAACGUAUUCAUUACCCGACUUAUGUAACUGUAACCUCUCUGU